rnacentral:lncRNA from 1 species
CGGGAAAGGGAAGGCAGGCAGAGAGGAACGGUGAAGCGGGAGCUUCUUCGGGGAGCUAGACUCCUAAUUGCCCUCUAAGGCCUUUCCAAGGCUGUGCCUGAACUGUCCCUGCGGAAAAGAAAAUGUUCUCCUUUUCUUAAAAAAAUAAAUAGAAGGCAGAUCGGUACCGAGAGCAGCCCGAACCCGGCCCCGCCGCGCCUCCGUGCCAGGUUCGCGUCCGGGCACCCCGAGGGCACGCCAGACCUUCAUCGCCGCCCCUCCGGCUCACCUCGCGGGCUGGGGCCUCGAGCUGCUCAGCGUCUCCGGCAGGCGGGCCCGUCCGACGCGUGGCCAUCAUCUCAUCCCAGGCUGCACACAGGGGGCCGGCCCUGCGGAGAACACAUCGGGGUGGGCGCCGCCGCCGCCGCGCACCGCUCCUCGCCAGGAACACGCUCGGGCGUCGCUGGGGCUCUGUGCGGGAGGUCUUCCCUCGGACGCGCGCCUCAGCUGCCUUCGCCCUGCUCCAUUUCCAGGGGCUUCACACACAAAGGCGGCGGGUCCCGGCCAGCUGGCGGCAGCCCACGGCGGAGCCGGCCCUCCACGCGGCGACUCCGGGCCGGGCACACUCCGAGUGGCCGCUCCGGCUGCGGCUCCCGCGGGGCCGUCCUGGAAGGGAGAAGCCACAGGGCGUGAGCCUCCGACGCCGGCCUCCGCGCGCCCAGUCCGGGCGGCGCUAGCGGAGGAAGGGAGAGCCGCGAGUCGGGGCGGCCCGGCGGCGUCCCCGCGGGGCGCGCACUCUCGGCGGCGUCUCCGGGCGGGCGCCCUCUGCCCCCGCGCCGCGCCGCGCCGGAGCCCGCGCCCGUCCGCCUCCCCGGAAACGCUCGGCGCCCGGGGCCGGCCGGGCGGGCGGGGACGCGGGCGGGGCGCGGCCAGGACGAUUCUGAGCCCCGCGGCCGCAGCCUCCAUCCCGUGGCCGCGCCCCGCCCGCCGCUCCACGCUGCGUCCCGGGCGGCGGGCUCAGGGAGCCGAAGCGGGGAGGAGGACGGAAAGCCGCCCACCGCCACCCACCCACCUACCGCGCUUCCUCCGCCCCUUCCUGAGGCGGGUCGGGGCCGGCGCCCGGGAAGUCUGCGGAGCCGCCGAGCGCCAUGGGCGCGGCCCGGGACUGAGGGGCGCCGGCCCGCUUCUCACAGCGCGCGGCCCCGCGGCUCAGGCACGGACGCCGCCCGGCCCACCUGGCUCCCCGCCUGCCCUCAGACCCCGGCCCCUGGCUCCGCCCCGCCGCGCCGCACAACGUCUCCCGCUGCAAAUUCCCCAAUCGGGAGCCGCGGUGAGCGAACGCGAGCCAAUCAGGGGCUGCUGACUCAGGCUUCGCCCCGCCCUUCUCCGCCUCCCCGGGGGAGCCGGCUCCCGGCGGCGUCUCGGGGUCCCCCUCCCAGGCGCACCCCGCUUCCCUUUUCCUGGUGCUGUUGCCGGUCGUUUCCGUCCCACUUCGGCUGGGGACCGCAGGCCCUGGUGUGCAGCCAGCUGCCGCUCCGUCGCGGGGAGGGAAGGGAGCCGAGCGCCGGGAGGCGUCUCCCCCUCCUCGCGCUGCCCACCCCCCCGCCCGCCCCAGGCCCAGAGCCUCGGCGGGGAGACCGCGAACCUGUUUCCCGGGCCGAGUACCUGCGCCUGCGUCACAGGGAGCCCUUUUCUGCGCCCAUGGAAGCUGUGUGCUCCUCGCAGCCCCCGAACCAGCGAGCCACGGUGCCUAGCCUCAGGUGCCCGGCCGGAGAGCGCCGGUUCCAGCCUUGCCGGCCACAUGGCCCCGUGGCAGGGGAGAUGCCGGGAGCUCCCCCCCAGCCAGCCUCCAGCGCGUGUCCAGAAGCACAAACUGCCCUUCCCAAGCCCGAGUGCAGGCCCGGAAUGAAGGGAGUGUCAACCAAUCGAGGGGACUGGGGUCAACGUCGC